rnacentral:rRNA from 1 species
CACGUAGGCGGCCUGUUAUGUCGGGUGUGAAAUCCCUCGGCUUAACCGAGGAAGUGCAUUCGAAACUGACAGGCUUGAAUACUCAAGAGGGUCUCGGAAUUCCCGGUGUAGAGGUGAAAUUCGUAGAUAUCGGGAGGAACACCAGUGGCGAAGGCGGAGACCUGGGGAGAUAUUGACGCUGAGGUGCGAAAGCGUGGGGAGCAAACA